rnacentral:lncRNA from 1 species
GCCGUUUUCUGUGUUUUCCAUUACAAAUAAUGCUAUAAGGAAUAGCCCUGUAUGUAAAUCUGUACACCUACGUGUGAGAACAUUUGUAAGAAAACGCGGAAUUGUUGCAUUAAAUUUUAAUGAAUGUUGUCAAAUUUCCUCAAAUGGCAUUUAUUUGCAUGUGUGUGUGUUCCAAUAACAUUUUAUUUAUGGAAAUUUGAAUUUCAUUUAAUUUUCACACGUCACAAAACAUUCUUUUGAUUUUUCUCCAUCAGUUAAAAUGUAAUAAUCACUCUUAGUUCAGGGGCUGUAUAAAUCAGGUGGUAAACCAGAUUUGGUCUACCAGCCAUAGUUUGCCAAGCUCUGGUUUAGUCUAACUAGUCUAGUUUAAGUUGUAAAAAAAGGGGCUAAGGUUCACCAAUGUUCCCAACUGAAAAGUUUUAUUAAAACACAUGUUUUAGACAUUUUCGAAAUGUUUUGAAAAAACAUUAAGUAAACUUAGUCCACUAAUGCAAGUCACCGAAAAUUUUUUCCUUACUGAUUAGUUUAAAAAACUUUUAUUACAAAAGUCAUCAAUGCAGAUUCUACUCUGACUUUGUAUUAAGUUCAGCCAAAUUUUGUUAUGUGAGAUCAUCCUUUAGGUUAUUUCAGCUUGUGAACCGCCAUACACUACAGCUUUCUGCCUCCACUAAACACUGUGAUGGAGGUGGGAAUGGAGGCCUUGGAGGGAAAGCAGAAGGCAUGGAUUUGGCUUCUGGUCUAUCUGAUUUUGCUUCAAGAUUCAGAGAUGUAUAGGUUUAUCACGCUCUCGCUAAACUGAAUGACUUCAACCCUUGGUGUCCCGUUUCCUUGUUUUUUCAUGUUCCUUGAAGUCUUGCCUUGCUGUCUUCACCCCUGAAGAAGCAGUCACCUCCUCCAUCAAGCGACUGGCUUCAGGAGAGAAACACACACCUUGGGUCACCCUGUGAGGGACUGAGGCGUUCUCAGACCGUUUCUGUGGCCACGUGUGCUCCACACUUCUUGUUCCUUCUUGGGAGGGAAUUCUUAAGGUUGUCUGCCUUCUCUGGAUGCUGCAGAGCCAGGCCGGUGCGGGCAGCCUCCCUUUUGCUUUCUCCAGGUCCCAUUGAAUGCUGAAGUUUGCAUACUUUCUCUCAAUCCCGCUCACUAGCCAUCUGCGAAGACUCACCAACCUUGGGUGGGGGUCGGGUGCGCACCCACAGCACCGGCCAGGGGGUGGGGGUGUGGGGAGUGAGAUGUGUGCAGCACUGGGGUGUCCGUGGGCCGUCUGGGGAGAUCCGCAGGCAAGCUGUCCCCAGCAGCUUGUGGGUGGGCUUCCUGAUGGAGUCCGCAAAGUGGCUGGUAGAAUUGUCCUUUUGAAGCCCUCCGAGUGCCCGGGCUGCCUUCUCCCAGGCCCCUCCACCCCCCCACCGGUCGUGCAGCACACCCGGCGUUCUGGAUGCGGGGAGAGAGAGAAGUGGGCAGGCUGCCCUACAGUUGGGGAAGCCAGACGCUCACGCCCACGCUCUCACCUCCCCCUUGGGGAGAAAUCGCUGGCGAAAGGGGCUCUGUUGGCUCUGGGCUGUGCGCUGGGGGAGGAGUCACAGGAAAAGUGACACUGGUCCUCUUCAUUGCGUCCAAUCUCAGGUUUUGUUUUGCUCCCACAGUGUGCUGGAAGUUCGCGGGUCUCUGGGAUUCCCACAAAGGUGCUCUUAUCCGCGGAUGAUGGUCAACAUCAGUGUUCGUUGGGUGUGCCCACAACACCAGGCUGCCUUUAUGGAGAAAAAGCGUGGAUUCUUCUGCGCCUUGGUACAACUUGACAGACGUAGCAGUCUGUCUCUGAGGAACUUAAAUGAGACACGGACAAUGUAAAUGAGGUCCCAGGGCAGAGAUUACCAGUGGCGGGUCUCGCUCUGUAUCAAAAAGACAACCCCCACCGCUUUCAUGGUGAAGCAAACUUGAGCAAGCUUAGACUGCCCCCAGAUCCCAGAUUCCAGACAGGGAGUCGCUCCCCGCCCCAUGCUACUGAGAACAGUUUUCCUCAUUGUGCACUGAUCGUUGUAAGCAGAUCCUGGCACGAGGAGGUCAAUGGCCCUAUCAGAAUGCGCUCCUCAGCCAUUCCUGUGCCGACUCAGAAAAUCUCCUCUCUCGAACGGCAGCCCAACCGAUGAAUAAUUGCCCUCUCCAAGAUCCAAGAGCCAAAAUCAAAUUUCCCCGCACAUCUUGGUCUCUGGCCGCAAAUGUGGUCUGUCUCAGUCUUUCUCCUUGAGAGGAAAAGAUGAGGAAAAUUCCCAUCUUGUUCCAACUCGUCCCCUCUGAUGACUCCAAGGUCGGAAGCGUUUUCCAUUCUGCAUAGAGUAGAUUGAAUCUGUUGACUGAGUUUUCAAAGCGAGCAGGAUUUUUUUUUGACCCAGACCUCUAUCACUCAUUAUUGAACUUUAGACUACUUGAGCACUUUCAGUGCCACCUGCAAAAUAUUUUUUAAAAUGUGUCACAACACGCAUUCUUGGAAAAUGGAAUUUGCUCUUCUUAAGAGUUACUUGCCUGCAUUAUUUUCAACAGUGACUGAUUUUCUCAACCCCUAGUUAAAUUUAAACCAUUCUGUGUUCAUUUUCUCACCUUCAUACCUUUUUAAAGCCAUUUCUCCCACUACUUGGGGGAGAUCCCCCCCACAAUCCCAUCUGAUCUUCAAGUGGUCCCCAACUCUUGCAGCCUGGUGUCGAUAACCUGAUAGUACAUAGUACCUGUACCCCUCAUUUUGGUUCCUAGCUAGACUCUGCCUGGCAUUUCAUAUAGCUAUUUCAUGAGGGUCUAUCUUAUCUGAAAUUACGUUAUAAAUUCCUUGAGAACAAAAAUGUUCAUUUUCCAUCUUCUUUCAUGUGUGUGUCCCUGCUUACCCCUCCCUGCCUCCCAUUGAUCACCACAUACCCUCAUAUGUGGAAAAUCGUACAUUUCUUUUUAAACUUGAAAUUAAAGAUGGUCCCUGACUUACCAUGGUUCAAGUUAAUUUUUCGACGUUAUGAUGGUGGAAAAGUGAUAUGCAUUCUGUAGGAACCCCACUUUGAAUUUUGAUGUUUCCGUGGGCUAGCAAUAUGUGGUAUGGUCCUCCCCUGUGAUGCUGGGCAGUGAGGAUAGCUCCCAGUCAGUCAUGCAGUCACGAGGUGAACAACCCAACACACUGACAGCCAUUCUGUACCCAG